AUUGAACGCUGGCGGCAGGCCUAACACAUGCCAGUCGAGCGGAUGAAGGGAGCUUGCUCCUGGAUUCAGCGGCGGACGGGUGAGUAAUGCCUAGGAAUCUGCCUGGUAGUGGGGGAUAACGUCCGGAAACGGGCGCUAAUACCGCAUACGUCCUGAGGGAGAAAGUGGGGGAUCUUCGGACCUCACGCUAUCAGAUGAGCCUAGGUCGGAUUAGCUAGUUGGUGGGGUAAAGGCCUACCAAGGCGACGAUCCGUAACUGGUCUGAGAGGAUGAUCAGUCACACUGGAACUGAGACACGGUCCAGACUCCUACGGGAGGCAGCAGUGGGGAAUAUUGGACAAUGGGCGAAAGCCUGAUCCAGCCAUGCCGCGUGUGUGAAGAAGGUCUUCGGAUUGUAAAGCACUUUAAGUUGGGAGGAAGGGUAGUAAGUUAAUACCUUGCUGUUUUGACGUUACCAACAGAAUAAGCACCGGCUAACUUCGUG
rnacentral:rRNA from 1 species